rnacentral:tRNA from 1 species
AGGAAGGAAGAGGGAGAAUCCUAAAUCGCUUGCCUUAUAAGCAGAGGGUCGCAGGUUCGAGUCCUGCCGGUCCUGCCA